CCUACGGGCGGCAGCAGUGGGGAAUAUUGCACAAUGGGGGAAACCCUGAUGCAGCAACGCCGCGUGAGUGAAGAAGUAUUUCGGUAUGUAAAGCUCUAUCAGCAGGGAAGAGAAUGACGGUACCUGACUAAGAAGCCCCGGCUAACUACGUGCCAGCAGUCGCGGUAAUACGUAGGGGGCGGGCGUUAUCCGGAUUUACUGGGUGUAAAGGGAGCGUAGACGGUUCUGCAAGUCUGAAGUGAAAGCCCGGGGCUUAACCGCGGAACGGCUUUGGAAACUGUGGAACUGGAGUGCUGGAGAGGCAAGCGGAAUUCCUAGUGUAGCGGUGAAAUGCGUAGAUAUUAGGAGGAACACCAGUGGCGAAGGCGGCUUGCUGGACAGUAACUGACGUUGAGGCUCGAAAGCGUGGGGAGCAAACAGGAUUAGAUACCCCAGUAGUC
rnacentral:rRNA from 1 species